GCCGUUGCCACUGGUGGCACAUCUACGUGGCAGGGUGCCACCACCGGCUGUGGCGGCAUACUCUGAUGAGUGGCUUCGGCCUGCGUGCCUGGGCCUGACUCCGACGUAGUGAGUGCCUCAGAUUCCCACGACGGUAGAGUGAUGGGUGUCAUUGCCUUGCCUCUGAUUCUCAGGCUAUUAUUUGGCAAGAAAUGUAUUCGGUUUCACCCUAUUUGGUACUAGUUUUUGCACUUUUAGUUUUGCUAGACACUGUGAUUGUACAUAAAUCUGAUUUUAUGAUUUCCAAAGAUGAACCGCUGAUAUAGGAACGUGACCACCGAAAGUGCUAGCUUCACAUGGUUUAAAAGGAGUAGUUGCCCAGACCAUUGUUCUUAUACGUGCGCCUGCUCUCCUCCUCUUUUUUUCUCGUAUGAGAGCUCACAGAACACAACCAAAUUAAGGUGAGCUCUUUUAGAUCAUUAAUUUUAUUCGUACAUGCAUAAUUUUAUUGUUGCCAUUUGUGAUGUAGUGUAGUGUAUCUUGUUAAGUUAUAUCUCUAGUUGUACAUGUAUUUCUGUAUAUCUCAUGUAUUUGUAUCCGUAUUGUAACCCCUCGCAUAUACACGAGGUGGCCCACUGUAUGUCUACAAUAUAUAAGCACCGCGGACCCUAAGCUAGGGUUACGCUUCCUAUAUC